GUCUACGGCCAUACCACCCUGAACACGUCCGAUCUCAUCUGAUCUCGGAAGCUAAUAAGCAGGGUUGGGCCUGGUUAGUACUUGGAUGGGAGAUAAAUACUUGGAGCCCUGUUUC
ensembl:rRNA 5S_rRNA 5S ribosomal RNA